rnacentral:lncRNA from 1 species
ACUCUAUGUAGCUCACAUGGUUUAUGUCGGUUAUAGGAUUUCCCAGUGUGUGUGUGUUUCCUUGUGUCUAUGGUGAAUGGUGAAGUUAUUUGAAAGUGGAGUUAUGAAAGUUAUUCUUUUGAAAGAUUUAAAUGAUAUUUACAUUAUGAGAAUUGAUAUUCUUGAUGAACUGAAAGUGAUUGACAAAUUAUAUGAUGAC